rnacentral:lncRNA from 1 species
CUGGAGAAAAAGUGCAGAAAAUGACAAGAAAAGUGAUUGGGUCAGUAACUUGGCCAAAUCACUGCCCAGAUCAAGCUAAAGCAGAAACCUGAACUAUCUCACAGGAGACUGAUUGGAUCAAUGAAUUGGCCAAGUCACUCGCAGGAACAGGAACCCGGAGGCAACACGCAGAAAUGAUUUGGGCAUGACGAUUUGCCCAAAUCACUGCCCAAAUCAAGCGGAGGAAGCAGAGACAAAAAGCUAAAAACUGGACUGACUCACAGAAAGCGAUUGGGGCAGCGAUCUGCCCAAAUCACCGCCCCAAUCACAUUGACAGCAGAAAUUGACAACAGAGGCGGGAAAAGAGCAGAAAAUCCGAAUUCAAAGAAAAGAUGUCCAAAUCCACUUCAAACACCACCAACUCAAUUCCAAAAGUCACAAGGAUGUCCUUCUACCAAAAGAAUUCAAUCUACAACAAAAUUUAAAGGCAAAAGGAGAAUCAAAGACCACAAAAGACCAAGUCAAGAUGGGGAUUUCCAAACCCUAAUGGGAUUAAAAUUCUCCAGCUAUAAAAGGGGACUACAUCUAAACCAGCAGAGACAUCUUCUCCUCUCGCCAGAAAUUACAGCAGGAAUUCAGUAGCUUUCUUCCUUUUCUUUUCUUUUCAUCUUUUGUGUAUUUUGUCCACCAUGAGUGGCUAAACACUCUCUUUUCUAGUUGAAAUUGAGGAAAUUCAGAUUUGUAAUGAAUUGGGAGAUUUAAAACUCCAUUGUUAAACCCUUAUUUGCUUUCAAUA